rnacentral:rRNA from 1 species
CUUUGACCGUGCGAAGGUAGAGCAAUAACGAGCCUCUUAAUUAGGGGACAGAAUGAAUGAACCAACGAAAAAGAUACUGUCUCACAUCUACACAAUGAAAUUUGUACAUAGGUGAAAACCCCUAUAUUUCAAUUAAAGACAAGAAGACCCUAUAAGCUUUUUUAAACCAUAAUAAAACCAAUUAUAUAUAAUUUAGUUGGGGCGACUUAAAGAACUAAACACUUAUACUAAACAGAAAUAAUUUUUCACUAAAAUACAUCCAAUCACACUUAAGCAAGCUACUGUAGGGAUAACAGGCUAAUAUUUUCCAAGAGCACGUAUCAACGAAAAUGCUUAGCACCUCGAUGUUGGCUUAGGGAAUCUACCUCAUGCAGAAGUGAGAACAGAAGGUUUGUUCAACCAUUAA